UACCUCAAGUGUGUCGCCAAUGUUAACGAUGAGUGCACCAUUCAGAGCAUUCACGGAGAACCAUUUGCCAUCCUUGUUGAUCUGCAGGCCCUGUACAUCAUUCACCUGGAGAAGCAGUGUCAAGCCACCUGGAUCAGUGUGCGGUGACAAACCCAACACCUUGUCAGCUUUCAAGCACGGUGGAUAGUAGUUCAUCCUCAAACCCCUAGCUUGCCCUUCAAAUACACUUAACAACGACUUCGGCUCAACACCAACGGCCUUGGCCAUGAAUUGCAGCAGGCAGAGUCCAAUAUUUUCUUAAUUAGUUGCAUAAUAAUUUGUCGGUAGUAUCACCUGAAAGAGGCAGGGUAAUUGGGCCAGAAUCUCAAGUCCCUUGAAUCGGUAGGACAGACUUGAAGGUAUAGCAUGUCUGCCCAGUCUAGUUUCUGGUUGUCGGACACAACGAAGGCCUGUCCAUAACCUUCAAGGUUAUUGGGCAGCUGUGAGUAUUCCUUCUUGGCAUCCAGUGGCUGACUGAAAAACUCAACCAAGUCGUUCUUGAGAUUUGCAAUCACUUCAUCUGGCACUCCAUGGUUGAUGAGCUGUAAAUAAAAUAGUACUUAUAGCUAGCCAAUUCCAUUUUUACCUAUUACUCUUCAAGAGCAAAAGCCAAGAACUUAAAGUUGCAUACCUGAAAGAACCCCCAAUACUGGCAGGCAGAUAUCAGCUUGACACACUCCUCUUGUGAUGAUUGAGGAGAAAUCAACUUGUCGAGAUCGAUGAUCGGAAUCGACAUAUCACCGUGGUUGUUCUUGAUGACCUCGUCGGAACUAACUUCUGGCCUGAUGUAUCUUUCAGGUAUCUCCUCAUCUAUGCCAUUGCAAGUUCCUGCAAGCUCCUGCACAUUAGGCACCGAGAUAGAACCAAUGGUUCUUGCUUCUGCCAUUGCUAA
rnacentral:sRNA from 1 species